GAGCUACUCCCUCCGUUCGGAAUUACUUGUCGCAGAAAUGGAUGUAUCUAGAUGUAUUUUAGUUCUAGAUACAUCCAUAUCCAAGACAAGUAAUUCCGAACGGAGGGAGUACGUC
rnacentral:pre_miRNA from 1 species